rnacentral:rRNA from 1 species
UGGGGAAUAUUGGACAAUGGGGGAAACCCUGAUCCAGCGACGCCGCGUGGGUGAUGAAGGCUUUCGGGUCGUAAAGCCCUGUCAGGAGGAAAGAAUGCUCCUAUGAUAAAUACUCAUAGGAAGUGACGGUACCUCCAAAGGAAGCACCGGCCAACUCCGUGCCAGCAGCCGCGGUAAGACGGAGGGUGCAAGCGUUGCUCGGAAUUACUGGGCGUAAAGCGCGUGUAGGUGGUCGAGUAAGUCGAAUGUGAAAGCCCCGGGCUCAACCCGGGAGGUGCAUCCGAAACUGCUCGACUAGAGUCCCGGAGAGGAAGGCAGAAUUCCCAAUGUAGGGGUGAAAUCCGUAGAUAUUGGGAGGAAUACCGGUGGCGAAGGCGGCCUUCUGGACGGUGACUGACACUCAGACGCGAAAGCGUGGGGAGCAAACAGGAUUAGAUACCCAGGUAGUCCCUGAGCGGGCUGGCAAGGCGCAU